AGCAGCCGCGGUAAUUCCAGCUCCAAUAGCGUAUAUUAAAGUUGUUGCAGUUAAAAGCUCGUAGUUGAAUUUCGGGAUUAAUAUGUUGGUCGUGCCUUGGUACGUACUGGCAUUAUUGAUUCCUACCUUCUGAAGAACCUCGAUGUCAUUAAUUUGGUGUCUUGGGGAAUCAGGACCGUUACUUUGAAAAAAUUAGAGUGUUUAAAGCAGGCUCGCGCUUGAAUACAUUAGCAUGGAAUAAUGAAAUAGGACGUUUGAUUCUAUUUUGUUGGUUUCUAGGAUCGACGUAAUGAUUAAUAGGGAUAGUUGGGGGCAUUAGUAUUCAAUUGUCAGAGGUGAAAUUCUUGGAUUAUUGGAAGACUGACUACUGCGAAAGCAUUUGCCAAGGAUGUUUUCAUUAAANCAAAGAACGAAAGUUAGGGGAUCGAAGACGAUCAGAUACCGUCGUAGUCUUAACCAUAAACUAUGCCGACUAGGGAUCGGAUGAUGUUAAUUUUUUAAUGACUCAUUCGGCGCCUUA
rnacentral:rRNA from 1 species